GGGUUGUGAGGUUAAGCGACUAAGCGUACACGGUGGAUGCCCUGGCAGUCAGAGGCGAUGAAGGACGUGCUAAUCUGCGAUAAGCGUCGGUGAGGUGAUAUGAACCGUUAUAACCGGCGAUUUCCGAAUGGGGAACCCAGUGUGUUUCGACACACUAUCAUUAACUGAAUCCAUAGGUUAAUGAGGCGAACCGGGGAACUGAAACAUCUAAGUACCCGAGGAAAAGAAAUCAACCGAGAUUCCCCCAGUAGCGGCGAGCGAACGGGGAGGAGCCCAGAGCCUGAAUCAGUGUGUGUGUUAGUGGAAGCGUCUGGAAAGGCGCGCGAUACAGGGUGACAGCCCCGUACACAAAAAUGCACAUAUUGUGAGCUCGAUGAGUAGGGCGGGACACGUGGUAUCCUGUCUGAAUAUGGGGGGACCAUCCUCCAAGGCUAAAUACUCCUGACUGACCGAUAGUGAACCAGUACCGUGAGGGAAAGGCGAAAAGAACCCCGGCGAGGGGAGUGAAAAAGAACCUGAAACCGUGUACGUACAAGCAGUGGGAGCCUCUUUUAUGGGGUGACUGCGUACCUUUUGUAUAAUGGGUCAGCGACUUAUAUUCUGUAGCAAGGUUAACCGAAUAGGGGAGCCGAAGGGAAACCGAGUCUUAACUGGGCGUUAAGUUGCAGGGUAUAGACCCGAAACCCGGUGAUCUAGCCAUGGGCAGGUUGAAGGUUGGGUAACACUAACUGGAGGACCGAACCGACUAAUGUUGAAAAAUUAGCGGAUGACUUGUGGCUGGGGGUGAAAGGCCAAUCAAACCGGGAGAUAGCUGGUUCUCCCCGAAAGCUAUUUAGGUAGCGCCUCGUGAAUUCAUCUCCGGGGGUAGAGCACUGUUUCGGCAAGGGGGUCAUCCCGACUUACCAACCCGAUGCAAACUGCGAAUACCGGAGAAUGUUAUCACGGGAGACACACGGCGGGUGCUAACGUCCGUCGUGAAGAGGGAAACAACCCAGACCGCCAGCUAAGGUCCCAAAGUCAUGGUUAAGUGGGAAACGAUGUGGGAAGGCCCAGACAGCCAGGAUGUUGGCUUAGAAGCAGCCAUCAUUUAAAGAAAGCGUAAUAGCUCACUGGUCGAGUCGGCCUGCGCGGAAGAUGUAACGGGGCUAAACCAUGCACCGAAGCUGCGGCAGCGACACUAUGUGUUGUUGGGUAGGGGAGCGUUCUGUAAGCCUGUGAAGGUGGCCUGUGAGGGUUGCUGGAGGUAUCAGAAGUGCGAAUGCUGACAUAAGUAACGAUAAAGCGGGUGAAAAGCCCGCUCGCCGGAAGACCAAGGGUUCCUGUCCAACGUUAAUCGGGGCAGGGUGAGUCGACCCCUAAGGCGAGGCCGAAAGGCGUAGUCGAUGGGAAACAGGUUAAUAUUCCUGUACUUGGUGUUACUGCGAAGGGGGACGGAGAAGGCUAUGUUGGCCGGGCGACGGUUGUCCCGGUUUAAGCGUGUAGGCUGGUUUUCCAGGCAAAUCCGGAAAACCAAGGCUGAGGCGUGAUGACGAGGCACUACGGUGCUGAAGCGACAAAUGCCCUGCUUCCAGGAAAGCCUCUAAGCAUCAGGUAACAUCAAAUCGUACCCCAAACCGACACAGGUGGUCAGGUAGAGAAUACCAAGGCGCUUGAGAGAACUCGGGUGAAGGAACUAGGCAAAAUGGUGCCGUAACUUCGGGAGAAGGCACGCUGAUAUGUAGGUGAAGCGACUUGCUCGUGGAGCUGAAAUCAGUCGAAGAUACCAGCUGGCUGCAACUGUUUAUUAAAACACAGCACUGUGCAAACACGAAAGUGGACGUAUACGGUGUGACGCCUGCCCGGUGCCGGAAGGUUAAUUGAUGGGGUUAGCGGUAACGCGAAGCUCUUGAUCGAAGCCCCGGUAAACGGCGGCCGUAACUAUAACGGUCCUAAGGUAGCGAAAUUCCUUGUCGGGUAAGUUCCGACCUGCACGAAUGGCGUAAUGAUGGCCAGGCUGUCUCCACCCGAGACUCAGUGAAAUUGAACUCGCUGUGAAGAUGCAGUGUACCCGCGGCAAGACGGAAAGACCCCGUGAACCUUUACUAUAGCUUGACACUGAACAUUGAGCCUUGAUGUGUAGGAUAGGUGGGAGGCUUUGAAGUGUGGACGCCAGUCUGCAUGGAGCCGACCUUGAAAUACCACCCUUUAAUGUUUGAUGUUCUAACGUUGGCCCGUAAUCCGGGUUGCGGACAGUGUCUGGUGGGUAGUUUGACUGGGGCGGUCUCCUCCUAAAGAGUAACGGAGGAGCACGAAGGUUGGCUAAUCCUGGUCGGACAUCAGGAGGUUAGUGCAAUGGCAUAAGCCAGCUUGACUGCGAGCGUGACGGCGCGAGCAGGUGCGAAAGCAGGUCAUAGUGAUCCGGUGGUUCUGAAUGGAAGGGCCAUCGCUCAACGGAUAAAAGGUACUCCGGGGAUAACAGGCUGAUACCGCCCAAGAGUUCAUAUCGACGGCGGUGUUUGGCACCUCGAUGUCGGCUCAUCACAUCCUGGGGCUGAAGUAGGUCCCAAGGGUAUGGCUGUUCGCCAUUUAAAGUGGUACGCGAGCUGGGUUUAGAACGUCGUGAGACAGUUCGGUCCCUAUCUGCCGUGGGCGCUGGAGAACUGAGGGGGGCUGCUCCUAGUACGAGAGGACCGGAGUGGACGCAUCACUGGUGUUCGGGUUGUCAUGCCAAUGGCACUGCCCGGUAGCUAAAUGCGGAAGAGAUAAGUGCUGAAAGCAUCUAAGCACGAAACUUGCCCCGAGAUGAGUUCUCCCUGACUCCUUGAGAGUCCUGAAGGAACGUUGAAGACGACGACGUUGAUAGGCCGGGUGUGUAAGCGCAGCGAUGCGUUGAGCUAACCGGUACUAAUGAACCGUGAGGCUUAACCUUACAACGCCGAAG
rnacentral:rRNA from 1 species